CAUUUGCCUGCGAAGGCUUCGUCACUUGCUCCUUGGUGGCAGAGGUGAGAAAAGCAGCCACAGUCUUUGAACUCCUGAGACAGGUAGAAGACUGGGCCCUGAAGCAGGCAGAGCUGCUGCUCAAGAGCGGAGGUAUGGAAAGAGUGUCUGCUCGCCUGCAUCAGAGAGGAAGUGAUUUGCUGAAAGAAAGUACUUUGUACAAGGAGAUGAAGAAGUCGAACUCCACCACCCAGAGAGAAGCAGAGGGGAUGCCUGGAGCGUCUGCGGGCUUGGAGCAGAAGAGAUGAGAGCAGGGCUCUGACCACGGCUUUCCUAGGCAUCCGCAGGGUCGUGCUCCAAGUCCUUUUGCCCAGAAAGGAAUUCAGACGCGCUCUCCUGCCCCAGAAGGGAGCCAGAAGGUCUAGCAACCACCAGAAAUGCCCUUUUGCAGCGGAGAAAGGAAAGGUGUCCUUCUACUUGAUUUCCUCAGCGCUGAGACACAAUACCCGACCCCACGAUUUAGGGACGUAGAGGUUUCGUUUGCCUUACAUUCUGUAGAGGUGUCAGCCCUUGGGCCAGUGGUGGCUCCGAGGCAGGGUGGCAUGGCACAGGAGGACUGCUCCCAGCAUGGCAGGCAGGAAGCAGAGAAUGACCCAGGAAGAAGGAGGGAGACAGACCUCCCAGGCAGCCCCUGGGGCCCACCUCCCAUGUCCCACACCAACUUAUCCACUGAUGAGUAUCCAGUCACCUCCCUGUGACCACAGGAGGCUUUGAGGGACAGCCAGAUACAACAGUAACAGUGCGGAACCAUCCAGUCUGCUGUGGAGGGGGAAAGGUCAGCUAGCUCUGGCUAACGGGUCCUCCACCUUCAGGCAGGUGGGGAGCCAAGAGCAGCUGCAGAGGGGAGCAAAUCCAAGUGCUCCUGACCUGUGGCUGGAGGAGGGUACAGCCGGUCCUCCUUCCCGGUGAGAGCUGAAGAGAUGAGCCCUGAAGCCCUUCCUGCAGCAGGCGGAGAAGUGGGGAAGGUACCAGCACAAGGGCUGUGCUUCUGUGUGGCUGCCUCUGAAAAAGGAUUGGUGGCAAUUUUUUUGCCUUUACUAUGCUGGCCCAGAGGUUCUGGUGGCCUCCUCUGUUCCAUGCCACCCCUUGGUAGUCUCACCGUGGGCAGACCUCCAAGCCUUUCUUUAGGUCUGGGCCACAGGAACAGGAGGGACACACCCAACAGCUGUAGGGGCAGGAAGCCUCUGUGAGACUAAAGCACAAAAACAUGAAUUCCGAAGGCCUGUGAGCAUCUUCUGCCCCAGCCAGCAGAUUUCUUGCAAAAAAUCUGUCUGGCACACAUCUGAUGGAGGAUUGGGACGCUCGGGUCUCCUGGCCCGGCAUAGUUUGGGUAGUGUUGUCUCCUCAAGCACUGUUUCCUUUGGAGAAGCGUUUCUUUUCUAGAUGGCCUCUAAGACACAGUAGGAGCUGAGUCCCAAGGGGCCACCAAGGGCCACACACAGCAGUCACAGCCACCGCACACUGCAGGAGGGUGCAGAGAGGGACUGGCGCUGGCUUGCAAAGGUUGACAGAGGUUAACUAGACAAAUACACAAGCCAGGCACAGUGGUGUGUGCCUGUUGUUCAGUGAUCCAGAGGCAGAAAGAGUUCAGGACCAGCCUGAGCAAGUGACUGACUUAGCAAGACCCUGUCUUAAAAAAAGAAAAGAAGGAGCAAAACAAGGGUGGAGGGAUGUGGCUUAGCAGGAAGGCCCUGGCUUCAAUCCUCAGUGCCACACACACACUCAUAGACACACUCAGACACACAUAUGCACACUAAAAUAACACAGGAAUAACCACUGUCCUUAUUUUUCAUAAUUCCUAUGGUCAUGUACAAUUAAAUGACAUAUAUGCUGUCCUGUCUGUUCAUCUGUCCUCCUCUUCAUCCUUUUCAACACUGUGUAGCCCAGGCUGGUCUCGAACUCCUGAUCCGAGCACAUCAGCAGGAUGACAGGCAGGUGCCACCGCACCCAGCUCCAGCAUCUCCUUCAGAGGAAGCUCCCUUCUCGGUCCCCCUCAGGCCAGCUUCCCUGGAAAGGAGGAUGAGCAGCGGCCGGCUUUUAGCCAAGAGGUUAGCUCUCCUUUAGGAAAGUGAAACGUAGACGAGAAAUAGAAACCAAAUCCAUAGGGCGGCAUCUGCUCCCUCCUGGCUUCCUCAUGGCACCGGACAUAGGUGGCCUGUGUGGAUGCUACUCCUUGUCAGGGAGGCUCGGCUCCAUCCCUUGGGAGGGAAGGGCUGUGGGCUUCGAGUGAGCCAGAUGCAGUUUGUCAAUCAGGUCACCCAGAUGUUCUCCUUUGGACAAAGAACUGUUGGAGUGAAGUUUUCUGUUCACAGCAAAAUUAAGAGGGCACAGAGAUUUUCCAGGAACACUUACCGACACAUCAUUAUCCCCAAAAGUCCCCGGUUUACACUAAAGUCCACUCUUGGGGUCAGGGAUCUAUGGCUUUGGACAAAUGUAUGAUGCAUGUGUCCACUGUCCCAGUAUCCUGCAGAGCGUUUUCACACACACACUCCACCUUAACCCUCCGUGCUUUGCCUGAAUGGCACACUCUUGAUCCCCAGGCUUCUGCAAAUACAACCUUUUCCAGGUGCAGUGGUGCAAACUUGUAAUCUCAGCACAGUGAGAGGCUGAGGCAGGAGAACCACAAGUUCCAGCCUGGCUUUAAGUUUAAAAAAUAAUAAAAGGCUUGGGCAUUUAAGCAUAUGAUGUUUGGACUGUAUCCAAUAGAAUCACAUGGAUGCCAUAAAAAUAUGAAUUCCCUUACACUCAAAUAUUUUAAGGAAAGAGUCACUACAUUGACUACUGUUAUGUCGGGUUAUAUUGUGGUGAAACACUAUGUUGCUUAAAUUGUUCUGUUCUGACCUGUAUUGUUAUGUCCUCUUUUAUCUCAAUCUCCUUCUUUUUUUAUUUUUUAAUAAAAAAUAUGAAUUCCCUGUCUCAUACUUGACUGGUUCAAAAUAUCUGGGCUGCAACCUAGGGAUCUGUAAUAUCCACGAAUUACGGGUCACUCUUACUCCUGCUGUGGUCUGAAUACCCCAUCCAGAUCCCAGCUGUGCUGCCAGGAAUUAGGGAGGGAUCUGUGUUCCUGACAGAGGAAAGUGCUUGACCAGGAGCAGGUGACAGAGAUCCACGUGGAAGAGCAGUGGGUCCUGCUUCCUCACUUCCUCAGGGCCUGUGCUGACUGGGCAGGGCCCCAGGUACUCUCUGUAGACUUUGAAGCCUGAGGUUCCCCAGGUGGACUGUUAUGAAAUCUCUACGAAGGAGAGCUUUUUUCUGGGUACCGGGAUCGAACUCACAGAACUCACUACCGCCUGCUUGCAAGGCAGGUGCUUAUACCGC